AUUGAACGCUGGCGGCAGGCUUAACACAUGCAAGUCGAGCGGGGUGAUGGUGCUUGCACUAUCACUUAGCGGCGGACGGGUGAGUAAUGCUUAGGAAUCUGCCUAUUAGUGGGGGACAACAUCUCGAAAGGGAUGCUAAUACCGCAUACGUCCUACGGGAGAAAGCAGGGGAUCACUUGUGACCUUGCGCUAAUAGAUGAGCCUAAGUCGGAUUAGCUAGUUGGUGGGGUAAAGGCCUACCAAGGCGACGAUCAGUAGCCGGCCUGAGAGGAUGAUCCGCCACACUGGGACUGAGACACGGCCCAGACUCCUACGGGAGGCAGCAGUGGGGAAUAUUGGACAAUGGGGGGAACCCUGAUCCAGCCAUGCCGCGUGUGUGAAGAAGGCCUUAUGGCUGUAAAGCACUUUAAGCGAGGAGGAGGCUCUUUUGGUUAAUACCCAAGAUGAGUGGACGUUACUCGCAGAAUAAGCACCGGCUAACUCUGUGCCAGCCGCCGCGGUAA
rnacentral:rRNA from 1 species